CCUACGGGUGGCAGCAGUGGGGAAUAUUGGUCAAUGGGCGCAAGCCUGACCCAGCAACGCCGCGUGAAGGAAGACGGCUUUCGGGUUGUAAACUUCUUUUCAGCAGGAAGAGCAGCAGGCGAUACCUCUUGAAUAAGCCACGUCUAACUACGUGCCAGCCGCCGCCGUAAUACGUAGGUGGCAAGCGGUGUCCGGCUUUACUGGGUGUAAAGGGCGUGCAGCCGGGAAGACAAGUCAGAUGUGAAAUCCCGCGGCUCAACCGCGGAACUGCAUUUGAAACUGUUUUUCUUGAGUACCGGAGAGGUCAUCGGAAUUCCUUGUGUAGCGGUGAAAUGCGUAGAUAUAAGGAAGAACACCAGUGGCGAAGGCGGAUGACUGGACGGCAACUGACGGUGAGGCGCGAAAGCGUGGGGAGCAAACAGGAUUAGAUACCCUUGUAGUC
rnacentral:rRNA from 1 species